rnacentral:rRNA from 1 species
CCUACGGGUGGCAGCAGUGAGGAAUAUUGGUCAAUGGGCGAGAGUCUGAACCAGCCAAGUCGCGUGAGGGAGUACUGCCCUAUGGGUUGUAAACCUCUUUUGUCGGGGAGCAAAAGCCGGACGUGUCCGGCUGUGAGAGUACCCUAAGAAAAUGCAUCGGCUAACUCCGUGCCAGCAGCCGCGAUAAUACGGAGGAUGCGAGCGUUAUCCGGAUUUAUUGGGUUUAAAGGGUGCGCAGGCGGAUUUUUAAGUCAGCGGUAAAAUCGUUGGGCUCAACCCCAUCCAGCAGUUGAUACUGGGAAUCUAGAGUGUGGGAGAGGUAUGCGGAAUGCGUGGUGUAGCGGUGAAAUGCAUAGAUAUCACGAAGAACCCCGAUUGCGAAGGCAGCAUACCGGUGCACAACUGACGCUCAGGCACGAAAGCGUGGGUAUCGAACAGGAUUAGAUACCCGAGUAGUC